UACAGAGGUGGCAAGCGUUGUUCGGAAUUAUUGGGCGUAACGGGCGCGUAGGCGGCCAUCUAAGUCAGACGUGAAAUCCCCCGGCUUAACCUGGGAACUGCGUCUGAUACUGGAAGGCUUGAGUAUGGGAGAGGGAUGUAGAAUUCCAGGUGUAGCGGUGAAAUGCGUAGAUAUCUGGAGGAAUACCGGUGGCGAAGGCGGCAUCCUGGACCAUUACUGACGCUGAGGCGCGAAAGCUAGGGGAGCAAACGGG
rnacentral:rRNA from 1 species